GACGAACGCUGGCGGCGUGCUUAACACAUGCAAGUCGAGCGGUAAGGCCCUUUCGGGGUACACGAGCGGCGAACGGUGAGUAACACGUGGGUGACCUGCCCUCAGCUCUGGGAUAAGCCCGGGAAACUGGGUCUAAUACCGGAUAUGACUUCAUGACGCAUGUUGUGGAGUGGAAAGCCUUGUGCGGCUGAGGAUGGGCCCGCGGCCUAUCAGC
rnacentral:rRNA from 1 species